CCCUACUUAGGGAUAGCAAGAAAAUGAAAGAAAUUAUAUAUCAGUAGCUGGGUCUUGUAGAUAAUAGUGUACAGAAGGUGAUGAUUGUAGUGGCAGACCAAGGAAGGGGGGGGGCAAAUUAGAUAAAAAAAGAAAAAUAAAAGAAGCUACAUAAAAAAAGCUAGCAAACCCAAAAAUGAUAACAAUUCUGCAAAAGUAGAGAGAGAGAGAGAGAGAUGUGGGCAAA
rnacentral:misc_RNA from 1 species